GGAGUCGCUGGGUAAUGCGCCAUGUGAGGCGCGGUGGGACUGUCGUUCCUGGACCAACGCCGAGACUUCCUAAAUCCCUCCGGAAAGGGAUGCGUUGGGCCUGUGAUCUGGCGACUAGGAGGGUCAGGAGUCCCAGUAGAGGGAAUCACGGGAAAAGAAUGAAAGAGGGAGGCGAGCCUGGCACGGCUUCCUGGAGAAACAAACUAAGCUAACAAAUUUUUCGGAUCCUUUGUGCAGCUAAUUUUACAGUACUGUUUCAUACAUCUUAUUAUAUUUGGACAUCACGGCCUGUUGAGUGGUCUCCCUCUCUGCUGCAAGCUCUGCUGUAAUCCAGAGACACUCAAUUAUCUCUAUCUCUUGUUCUGAGGGAAGCCAUGUACAUCAUUAGCAGUUCUAUAAAGAGGAUCACAUGGCAAGAAACUGAAACAUUCUGCCAGCUGCCCUGUGAAAGAACUUGGAAGUAGACCCUCCAGCCCUAAUCAAGUCUUCAGAGACUGUACUCAGCCAACAAUUGACUGCAACCUCAUAAGAGACCCUGAGCCAGACCGCCCAACGAGAAACUGUACUAUGGAAAUUAUGUUAGACAAAAAACAAAUGCAAGCAGUUUUCUUAUUCGAGUUCAAAAUGGGCUGCAAAGCAGCAGAGACAACUUGCAACAUCAAGAGUGCAUUUGGCCCAGGAACUGCUAAUGAACGUACAGUGCAGUGGUGGUUCAAGAAGUUUUGCAAAGGAUGGCCAGGCGCAGCAGCUCACACCUAUAAUCCCAGCACUUUGGGAGGCCAAGGCAUCCGGAUCACUUGAAGUCAGGAGUUCGAGGCCAGCCAGGCCAACAUGGUGAAACCCCAUCUCUACUAAAAAUAAAAAAAUUAGCUGGGCAUGGUGGCAUGCACCUGUAAUCCCAGCUACUCGGGAGGCUGAGGUGGGAGAAGCGCUUGAACCCAGGAGGCAGAGGUUGCAGUGAGCUGAGAUUGUGCCACUGCACUCCAGUGACAGAACAAGACUCCGUCUCAAUUUAAAAAGAAAGAAAGAAAGAAAGAAAGUUUUGCAAAGGAGCUGAGAGCCUUGAAGAUGAUGAGCAUAGUGACCGGCCAUGGGAAGUUGACAAUGACCAAUUGAGAGCAAUCAUUGAAGCUGAUCCUCUUAUAGCUACAUGAGAAGUUGCCUAAGAACUCAAUGUUGACCAUUCUAUCGUCACUCAGCAUUUGAAGCAAAUUGGAAAGGUAAAAAAGCUCGAUAAGUGGAUGCCUCAUGAGCCAACUGAAAAUAAAAAAAAUAUAUCGUUUUGAAGUGUUGUCUUCUCUUGUUCUACACAACAAUGAACCAUUUCUCGAUUGGAUUGAGAUGUGCUAUGAAAAGUAGAUUUUAUACAACAGCUGGCAAUGACCAGCUCAAUGGUUGGGCCCAGAAGAAGCUCCACAGCACUUCCCAAAGCACCAAAAACAGGUCAUGGUCACCGUUUGGUGGUCUGCUGCCAGUCUGAUCCACUACGGCUUUCCGAAUCCCAGUGAAACCAUUACAUCUGAGAAGUAUGCUUAGCAAAUCAAUGAGGCACUGAAAAGUGCAACACCUGCAGCUGACAGUGGUCAACAGAAAGGACCCAAUUCUUCUCCACAGCAACUACAAUGCCCGACUGCAUGUCGCACAACCAACCCUUCAAAAGUUGAACAAAUUGAUCUAUGAAGUUUUGCCUCAUCCACCAUAUUCAUCUGACCUGUGGCCAACCAACUACCACUUCUUCAAGCAUCUCAACAACUUUUUGCAGAGAAAACACUUCUACAACCAGCAGGAUGCAGAAAAUACUUUUUAAGAGUUUGGCGAAUCUGGAAGCACAGCUUCUUACACUACAGGAAUAAACGAACUUAUUUCUCAUUGGCAAAAAGGUGUUGAUUGUAAUGGUUCCUAUUUUGAUUAAUAAAAAUAUAUCUGAGCCUAGUUAUA
rnacentral:lncRNA from 10 species